rnacentral:rRNA from 1 species
GACGAACGCUGGCGGCGUGCUUAACACAUGCAAGUCGAGCGGUAAGGCCCUUUCGGGGGUACACGAGCGGCGAACGGGUGAGUAACACGUGGGUGACCUGCCCUUAGCUCUGGGAUAAGCCUGGGAAACUGGGUCGUAAUACCGGAUAUGACUCCAUGACGCAUGUUGUGGGGUGGAAAGCCUUGUGCGGCUAGGGAUGGGCCCGCGGCCUAUCAGCUUGUUGGUGGGGUGAUGGCCUACCAAGGCGACGACGGGUAGCCGGCCUGAGAGGGCGACCGGCCACACUGGGACUGAGACACGGCCCAGACUCCUACGGGAGGCAGCAGUGGGGAAUCUUGCGCAAUGGGCGAAAGCCUGACGCAGCGACGCCGCGUGAGGGAUGACGGCCU